GGACUUAUAGUGAAGCGGUUAUCACCCAGCACUUUGAAUGCUGUAUCCCGGGUUCGAAUCCCGGUAGGUCCUUGUUAUUUUUGCCAUUUUUAGCGAAGCUGACACAGUCAACUUUCAG
rnacentral:tRNA from 1 species